UACAGAGGUCCCAAGCGUUGUUCGGAUUCAUUGGGCGUAAAGGGUGCGUAGGUGGCGCCGUAAGUCGGGUGUGAAAUUUCGGAGCUUAACUCCGAAGCUGCAUUCGAUACUGCGGUGCUUGAGGACUGGAGAGGAGACUGGAAUUCAUGGUGUAGCAGUGAAAUGCGUAGAGAUCAUGAGGAAGACCAGUGGCGAAGGCGGGUCUCUGGACAGUUCCUGACACUGAGGCACGAAGGCCAGGGGAGCAAACGGG
rnacentral:rRNA from 1 species